UUUUCUCCUCCGCUUCCAGUCCUGCACCAAGAUUAUCCUGGAGAGCUGUGGAUGGAGCAACGUUUCCAGUGGUACAUUCCUGAACAGCCACACUCCUUCCCUCCGCUCCUGCCUUUGAUACCAACUCUUCUGUCUCUCUGCACUCAGGAGAAUGAGGAAAGACUGGAUAAAUACAGACCUGAUUUUCCAAAGUGCAGACAAGCCUUACAAUGCAAUGUACUACCUGGCCAGGAAGGUGCAGAGCUGUCAACAUUCCUAUUGGCAAUGGCAAGAGAACAUGACUUUUCUCCCUCCCUGGAUGUGAACCCAGAAGUCACCUUAGGACUUAAAUUCUUACUUUAACUCUCAAUUCCUUCUAGUUCAAAUAGAAAGG